GGGUGCUACCAUAUCAGCAUUAAUGCAUCAUAUUCCAUUAGAACUCGAUAGUUAAGUAUGCUUGGGCAAGAAUAGUACUAAAAUGGGUAACCUCCUAGAUAGUCCUCAUGCUGCAUCCC
rnacentral:rRNA from 1 species